GACGAACGCUGGCGGCGUGCUUAACACAUGCAAGUCGAACGGAAAGGCCCUGCUUUUGUGGGGUGCUCGAGUGGCGAACGGGUGAGUAACACGUGAGUAACCUGCCCUUGACUUUGGGAUAACUUCAGGAAACUGGGGCUAAUACCGGAUAGGAGCUCCUGCUGCAUGGUGGGGGUUGGAAGGUUUCGGCGGUUGGGGAUGGACUCGCGGCUUAUCAGCUUGUUGGUGGGGUAGUGGCUUACCAAGGCUUUGACGGGUAGCCGGCCUGAGAGGGUGACCGGCCACAUUGGGACUGAGAUACGGCCCAGACUCCUACGGGAGGCAGCAGUGGGGAAUAUUGCACAAUGGGCGGAAGCCUGAUGCAGCAACGCCGCGUGCGGGAUGACGGCCUUCGGGUUGUAAACCGCUUUCGCCUGUGACGAAGCGUGAGUGACGGUAAUGGGUAAAGGAGCACCGGCUAACUACGUG
rnacentral:rRNA from 1 species